rnacentral:rRNA from 1 species
GCUCAACUGAGGAAGUGCUUCGAAAACUGGUAAACUUGAGUGCAGAAGAGGAAAGUGGAACUCCAUGUGUAGCGGUGGAAUGCGUAGAUAUAUGGAAGAACACCAGUGGCGAAGGCGGCUUUCUGGUCUGUAACUGACGCUGAGAUUCGAAAGCAUGGGUAGCAAACAGGAUUAGAUACCCUGGUAGUCCAUGCCGUAAACGAUGAGUGCUAAGUGUUGGAGGGUUUCCGCCCUUCAGUGCUGCAGCUAACGCAUUAAGCACUCCGCCUGGGGAGUACGAUCGCAAGAUUGAAACUCAAAGGAAUUGACGGGGGCCCGCACAAGCGGUGGAGCAUGUGGUUUAAUUCGAAGCAACGCGAAGAACCUUACCAGGUCUUGACAUACCAUGAAAAGCUUAGAGAUAAGUCUUUCCCUUCGGGGACAUGGAUACAGGUGGUGCAUGGUUGUCGUCAGCUCGUGUCGUGAGAUGUUGGGUUAAGUCCCGCAACGAGCGCAACCCUUAUUAUCAGUUGCCAGCAUUCAGUUGGGCACUCUGGUGGGACUGCCGGUGAUAAACCGGAGGAAGGUGGGGACGACGUCAAAUCAUCAUGCCCCUUAUGACCUGGGCUACACACGUGCUACAAUGGUCGGUACAACG